GCGAGAGUGGCGGAAUUGGUAGACGCACUAGACUUAGGAUCUAGCGGCCUAGCCGUGGGAGUUCGAGUCUCCCCUUUCGCACCA
rnacentral:tRNA from 1 species